UACCCGUCGACGUACACGAUGC
rnacentral:siRNA from 1 species